GUGUUUGAAGUAUUAUUUAUUGUUUUGUGACCCUGCCAUUAUGUUGGAAAGAGAAUAUUACCAGGGCGAGUGCCCAGAGUUAAAGGUAGAGUUUUGGAAGGCUGGAAUUUAUUGACCAAAUUGAGGUGUAUAAAAUCAUUAGGAGCACAGGUAGGGUGAAUGCACACUGUCUUUUUCUCUGGGAAAGGGGCUCAAAAACUACAGGGCACAAAUUUAAGGUAAGAGGAGAAAGAUUCAAAAGAGGCCUGAAGGACAACUUCUUCACUCAGUGGGUGAUCCAUAUAUGGAAUGAGCUGUCACGGAACAUGAUUGAGGCAGGUAUAGUAAUGGCAUUAAGGAAAAAAAAUGGACGAUUAUGUGGAUAGGAAAGGUUUAGUGGUAUAUGGGCAAGUGGGACUAGGUUGGUGGACACCUUGGUUACCAUAGAUGAGUUCCUGGGCCUGUUUCUAUGCUCUACAACUCUAUGACUCUCUUUAGCCUUGGCUAACAUUACACUGUGCAAUGUGACCAACUGAUAAAAUGAAUUAGUUAUUUCUCUUCCAUCUUAUGUGUUGUUUCUGGGGCCUAGCUACAUACACAUUGAGUUACAUUAAUUUGUAUGAUGAGAGUUCUUUUUCUUAGAUGCCUAUGGAUGAAGUGGUGACCGUUGUGGGAAGUGCAACAAGAAGGAUUGGAGGUGACAUUGUGAGAUGGCUCAGUUGUUUCAAAACAGGACUAAAUGUUCUGAAUGCAUGGCCCCAAGGUUUUCAAUCUUGACUUAAAUGAUCCUUCUCCUCUUUGCGUUAUUCCCUGAAGCUAACUGCAAUAGUUGAGAAAAUAAUAACAUAUUACAUAACUGUAAUAUCAUUCCCUCUCAUUUCCCUCAUUGCUAAUCUGCUUUCCUCCAUAUUCUUUUACUUUCUUCAUAAGACCAUAAGACCACAAGACACAGGAACAGAGUUAAGCCAUUCAGCCCAUUGUGUCUGUUCUGCCAUUCCAUUAUGGCUGAUCCCGGAUGCCACUCAUCCCCACACCCCUGCCUUCUUGCCAUAUCCUUUGAUGCCAUGACUGAUCAGGAAAUUAUCAAAUUCCACCUUAAAUAUACCCACAGACAUGACCUCCACCACAGUCUGUGUCAGAGCGCUCCACAGAUUCACUACUGUCUGACUAAAAAGAAUUCUCCUUACCUUUGCGCCCUCUAGCUCUGGAAACCCCCACCAUAGGAAACAUCCUCUUCAUAUCCAUCCUAUCUUGUCCCUUCAACAUUAGGUAGGUUUCAAUGAGAUCCCCUCACAUUCUUCUAAAUUCCAGUGAGUACAGGCCCAAAGCUGACAAAUGCUCUUCAUGUGUAAACCCUUUCAUUCCUGGAAUCAUCCUUGUGAACCUCCUCUAGACUCACAGUGAUAACACAUACUUUCUGAGACAUGGGGCUAAAAACUGUUGACAUCUCUCCAAGUGUGGCCGAAGUAGUGUCUUAUAAAGCCUCAGCAUUAUCUCCUUGCUUUUAUAUUCUAUUCCCCUUGAAAUAAAUGCCAAAAUUGCAUUUUACUUCUUUACCACAGACUCAUCCUGUAAAUUAACUUUCUGGGGGUCUUGUAUGAGGACUCCUGAGCCCCUCUGCAUGUCUGAUAUUUGAACUUACUCCCCAUUUAGAUAGGAGUCCACACCAUUGUUCCUUUUACCAAAAUGCAUUAUUAUAUAUUUCCCAUUUGCCACUUUUUUGCCCAGUCUUCCAAUUUGCCAAAGUGCUGCUACAAUUGUAUUGCUUCUUCUGUACUACCUACCCCUCCACCUAUCCAAAGUUGUGCAAACUUUGCCACAAAGCUAUCAAUUCUACUGCCUAAAUCAUUGACAAACAAUGUGAAAAGUCACGGUCCCAAUUCAUCUGGCUUUCUUUUUAAUGCUUUACAAUACUUACAGUAUAUAGAUACCUUUGAUGUCAUCAACACUUACAAGUUGUCUUUAAUGUUCUUGUGAAGUUUGUGUGUGAACAGAACAUUCAUUGUGCUCAUCAAUCACUCAAAAAAGAGAAAUAAUGUUUAAAAUGGUGUGUUCAGCAAAAAAAAAUUUAAAUGCUGGUUUUUAAUAACUUUUGUGUAAAUUUCCAUGAAGAACAAUUUUGUACUAUUAUGUUGUGGGAUCACUUUAUAAAUAGAAUUGUGAUAAUUGUAUUGUCUCAGUGUUGGUAACCUACUAAAUCCUUGUCUGCCUUUUUGCAAAAUUCUUCUAGAAGUAUAUAGGCAAGGGCUGCAACAGUACCUUCAAGGACACAAUAAUCUCUCCAGAUUGCAAGCACCUGAUAUUGCAAGCAGCUUGUUUUUAUGUUUGAUAACUCUAAAAAAAAAUUAAUCAAAAGAAAAACACGGGGCCAGGGAUAAUAUGUCUACUUUGUUCUUAUUUUAGUAAGGCGCGCAAAUAUGAUGUGGUGGUGUGAUGACGUAUGCCAUUCAUGUACUUCUACAUAUUAUCUAAACAAAGAAGAAUGCUUAAUCAAACAAUAUAUUCACAAUAUUGCUGAAAUAUUAAAUACCUGUAUACAGCACUUGUACAUGCAAAGGAGCUUCUGGGAUACAGAGGGAAGGAUUUGCUGGCAGCUGCAGAUGGGAUCUCAGUUCAUGGCAAUAUCAUUACAGCUUGCAGAGGAAUCUGAGUAGUUGAGUUAAACAUCUUGGCUUACUUAUACUUUACUGGGUUAUGAACAGUUCUCAGGAAUGCAACCUUUCAUAACCUGGACAGGUUAUACAAAGGACUAACAAUUAAUUUUGUGGAUACACAAGUUGAAAGCAUGGGUUCACAUCCCAUCAAGACUUCUUAAUAGUAAGGACACAGUCAGUCCAUGUGGGUAGCAAUGUCCCUAGUCCCAUUACGAAGAGCACUAGUGCUCAUCCGGCUGUUAUUUACACUGCUGACAAAUGACUGUGUCGUAGGAUUCAGCUCAAACUGUAUCAUCAAGUUUGUGGAUGACACAAUAAUGGUUGGCCUCAUCAAACAACAAUGAUAAGUCGGAGUACAGAGAGGAAGAGGAGCGGCUAGUGGAUUUGUGUGAGAACCUAAGUCUGAACAUGGAGAACAUGGACUUUCGGAAGGUACAGAUGAACCGACCCCCUAUGCACAUACAUGGCUCCUCCAGAGAGAGAGUUAAGUCCACCAAGAUCCUGGGAGUUCACCUGGUUACUCAAUAUCACCUCCCUGGAUAAGAAAGCACAGCAAAGUCUCCACUUUCUGAGGAGAUUGAGAUUUAUAGGAGAUUAGCAGGCCAAUUUGUAAGAGGACAAAGAAAAACCUGAAUGUUUAAUGAAACUGUCAUAAACAGAAAAAAAACAGAGAGCCCAGAAAAAAGACAAAUAUGAGGUGCAAGCUGAACCAAAACUAUUCUGCAAAGAGCAAUGAGAUUAUCCUGGAAUAUGCAAGAUGGAAGGCUGUCAUUUGGCCAAAACAAAUCUGUACUCUGUUAGCCUUCCUCAUUGCAGAAGAUACAGACACAGACAUUUGAGAACAUUGACUAUUGGAUCAAGGACAGCUUCAUCCCACUGUUCUCAGAGCAUUCAACGGACAUGUUAUAUGAUAAAGAUGGACUCAUAAUCUCUCAGUCUAGCUCAUCAUGGUCCUUGCUCAUUUGUCUACUGGCUCUGCACGUUCACUGUGACUAUAACAGUAUAACAUUUUGUAUUCUGUUGUAGUUUUCCUUUAGAACUACCUUGAUGUACAGUACUUAGGUAUGGAAAGAUCUAUCCGAAUAUCAUGCAAACAAAAGUGUUUCCUUGUAUCUCAGAUAAUGUGUCAAUAAUAAACCAAUUUCCAAUUGCUAUUAAUGUUGUUUACAAUAUAUAUUAAUGAUUUAGAUGAGGAAAUUAAAUGCAGCAUCUCCAAGUUUGCGGAUGACACAAAGCUGGGUGCCAGUGUUAGCUCUGAGGAGGAUGCUAAGAGGAUGCAGGGUGACUUGGAUAGGCUAGGUGAGUGGGCAAACUCAUGGCAGAUGCAAUUUAAUGUGGAUAACUGUGAGGUUAUCCACUUUGGUUGCAAGAACAGGAAAACAGAUUAUUAUCUGAAUGGUGGCCGAUUAGGAAAAGGGGAGGUGCAACGAGACCUGGGUGUCAUUGUACACCAGUCAUUGAAGGUGGGCAUGCAGGUACAGCAGGCAGUGAAAAAGGCAAAUGGUAUGUUGGCAUUCAUAGCAAGAGGAUUCGAGUACAGGAGCAGGGAGGUUCUACUGCAGUUGUACAAGGCCUUGGUGAGACCACAGCUGGAGUAUUGUGUGCAGUUUUGGUCCCCUAAUCUGAGGAAAGACAUUCUUGCCAUAGAGGGAGUACAAAGAAGGUUCACCAGAAUGAUUCCUGGGAUGGCAGGACUUUCAUAUGAAGAAAGACUGGAUUGACUAGGCUUAUACUCGCUGGUAUUUAGAAGAUUGAAGGGGGAUCUUACUGAAACAUAUAAAAUUCUAAAGGGAUUGGACAGGCUAGAUGCAGGAAGAUUGUUUCCGAUGUUGUUCCGAUGAGGGGUCACAGUUUAAGGAUAAAGGGAAAGCCUUUUAGGACCGAGAUAAGGAAAAACUUCUUCACACAGAGUGGUGAAUCUGUGGAAUUCUCUGCCACAGGAAACAGUUGAGGCCAGUUCAUUGGCUAUACUUAAGAGGGAGUUAGAUAUGGCCCUUGUGGCUAAAGGGAUCGGGGGUAUGGAGAGAAAGCAGGUACAGGGUUCUGAGUUAGAUGAUCAGCCAUGAUCAUACUGAAUGACGGUGCAGGCUCGAAGGGCCGAAUGGCCGACUCCUGCACCUAUUUUCUAUGUUUCUAUGUUUCUAAUGCCUGUUAGUGUCUAAUUAAAAAUUUUACAAUCAAAUAUUUUAACAUCAGUUUGCAUUUGGUAUUAUUGCUUAUUUCUUAUUGUUUUCUACCUGUUUCUUCCAAUUUCUGAUGAAGUUGCUGCUGUAACUCUAUAAAAUAGCAGGAAAUAUAGCAGGGAUUUA